CAGUCACAUCACAGUGAAGCACCAGUUCCCAUACAAUUACCAAAAUUAAGCAAUAUUGACCUUGGUCAGUACCUAGAUGGGUGACCACUUGGGAAUACCAGGUUCUGUAAG